UACGUAGGGCGCAAGCGUUAUCCGGAAUUAUUGGGCGUAAAGAGCUCGUAGGCGGUCUGUCGCGUCGGAUGUGAAAACCCAGGGCUCAACCCUGGGCCUGCAUUCGAUACGGGCAGACUAGAGUACGGCAGGGGAGACUGGAAUUCCUGGUGUAGCGGUGAAAUGCGCAGAUAUCAGGAGGAACACCGGUGGCGAAGGCGGGUCGCUGGGCCGAAACUGACGCUGAGGAGCGAAAGCGUGGGGAGCGAACAGG
rnacentral:rRNA from 1 species